AGUUACCAACAACGAGAACCGAACAUAGGACCACUUAUGGCAAUGUUAGUAGGUAGGUACGUCACUACCGUCAUAUUUUUCUUCCGUUAAUGUUCUCAAAGCUAUAUAGGUCUACGCAAUACUUUGAGAAUAGUAACUGAGUAUUAUUUAUUUAUUUUUAACAGAGUUAUAAAGUUGCCUUUUUAAACUGUAUUUUCUCAAUUAUUAAUUUAAUAUUGACAUAAGUAUGUUAUUCUAAUGAUGGUAGUUCAUUCAUGAACAUGAUUUUGAAAUUACUUACAAUUUGAGACAAUAUUAUUAUUUAGAGUUCUUUACUAAACAAAAAAUACACCGAAACUAAUAAAAUGUUUUGUUUGUAUUAAACACGAACUAUUUAUUACUAAUGAAGUCUUGAUUACUAUCAAUACUAAUUUAAGGUUGACUUAAAAUGUAUAUUUUCCAUUUUUUUUUUGUAAUUCAUUCUAGCUACCACUAUAAUUUGUUUUUUUUUAUUGUAAGAUAAAAAUAUUUUUGUUUUAAAAUUGUUAUUGUGUUUAAAUUUUGUCCCUGUCUGCAUGAUACAAAUAACAUUUAAGUAACAUAACGCCUUACUUAAUAAAGUUUACUGAACUAAAAA